GACGAACGCUGGCGGCGUGCUUAACACAUGCAAGUCGAACGGAAAGGCCCUCUUGUUGUGUGCUGCUCGGGUGGCCGGGUGGUUAAUACCACGGUAAUCUCCCCCCCUCUUCUUUGUGAUUUCUUCAAGCAACUGCUGAUACUGCCUAGUAGGUGCUCCUGCUUGAUGGGGGGUGUUGGGUUUUUUCGGCGGUUGGGGAUGGACUCGCGGCUUAUCAGCUUGUUGGUGGGGUAGUGGCUUACCAAGGCUUUGACGGGUAGCCGGCCUGAGAGGGUGACCGGCCACAUUGGGACUGAGAUACGGCCCAGACUCCUACGGGAGGCAGCAGUGGGGAAUAUUGCACAAUGGGCGGAAGCCUGAUGCAGCAACGCCGCGUGCGGGAUGACGGCCUUCGGGUUGUAAACCGCUUUCGCCUGUGACGAAGCGUGAGUGACGGUAAUGGGUAAAGAAGCACCGGCUAACUACGUG
rnacentral:rRNA from 1 species